UCGGUCCACUCGGUGGGGAAAGAAAUUAGGGUUCGAGGAGGGGAGGGGAGGCGGGCGGCGACAGAGCAAUCGCCAAUGGCAUCGUCCUCUGGUUCAUUGUACUCAGACGGAGGGCGCCGUCGUAGGGCACCAUCCAGGUCGCCGGUGCCCUAUCGAGAGGACCCGAUGGCGUACCAGCCGUCGAGGCCAUGCUACUGCAAGCCGUCGAAGAAGGCAACCCGUUGGAUUUCCUGGAGCGACAAAAAUCCUGGAAGAAGAUACUAUUGUUGCGUGCUCGGGAUUACCGAUGGCAUGGCUAGAAUAGGGGAGGAUAAGUGGAGCAGAGGCUGUACUGGCACAACAAAUUCAUGAGAAGAAUGAAGAAAUUAAAGGAAUAUUGGCUAGGUCUGAAAGGAUGGAGAGAAAUACAAUGUAUAACUGUGUAACAGUGUAGUUGUUGGUCUAUUUGCAGGGUUUCUGCUAGGUAGAGGAAAGGAUGGAGAGAAAUACAAUGUAUAACUGUGUAACAGUGUAGUUGUUGGUCUAUUUGCAGGGUUUCUGCUAGGUAGAGGAUCAAUGUAAUGGUUGGAUGAUGUAAUGGCAGGAUUUAUGAUUUGUAGAGUACAUUUGUGUCAUCUGCCAGUGAUAUUAAUUCCUUUUGCGCACUUUAAAAUAAUUCUGAUGAUUAUGA